rnacentral:rRNA from 1 species
GGGGAAUUUUCCGCAAUGGGCGCAAGCCUGACGGAGCAACGCCGCGUGAGGGAGGAAGGUCUGUGGAUUGUAAACCUCUUUUGUUAGGGAAGAAGCUCUGACGGUACCUAACGAAUAAGCAUCGGCUAACUCCGUGCCAGCAGCCGCGGUAAGGCGGAGGAGGCAAGCGUUAUCCGGAAUUAUUGGGCGUAAAGCGUCCGCAGGCGGCUUUUUAAGUCUGUUGUUAAAGCCCACAGCUCAACUGUGGAUCGGCAAUGGAAACUGGGAGGCUAGAGUGUGGUAGGGGUAGAGGGAAUUCCCGGUGUAGCGGUGAAAUGCGUAGAUAUCGGGAAGGACACCAGUGGCGAAGGCGCUCUACUGGGCCACAACUGACGCUGAGGGACGAAAGCUAGGGGAGCGAAAGGGAUUAGAUACCCCAGUAGUC